ACGGGGUGCAGCAGGCGCGAAACCUCCGCAAUGUGAGAAAUCGCGACGGGGGGAUCCCGAGUGCCAUUCUUAACGGGAUGGCUUUUCAUUAGUGUAAAGAGCUUUUGGAAUAAGGGCUGGGCAAGACCGGUGCCAGCCGCCGCGGUAACACCGGCAGCUCUAGUGGUAGCAGUUUUUAUUGGGCCUAAAGCGUCCGUAGCCGGUUUAAUAAGUCUCUGGUGAAAUCCUGUAGCUUAACUGUGGGAAUUGCUGGAGAUACUAUUAGACUUGAGACCGGGAGAGGUUAGAGGUACUCCCAGGGUAGAGGUGAAAUUCUGUAAUCCUGGGAGGACCGCCUGUUGCGAAGGCGUCUAACUGGAACGGUUCUGACGGUGAGGGACGAAAGUUAGGGGCGCGAACCGGAUUAGAUACCCGGGUAGUCCUAACUGUAAACGAUGCGGACUUGGUGUUGGGGUGGCUUUGAGCUGGUUCCAGUGCCGAAAGGGAAGCUGUUAAGUCCGCCGCCUGGGAAGUACGGUCGCAAGACUGAAACUUAAAAGGGAAUUGGGCGGGGGAGCAC
rnacentral:rRNA from 1 species